GACGAACGCUGGCGGCGUGCUUAACACAUGCAAGUCGAACGGAAACGCCCUGCUUUUGUGGGGUGCUCGAGUGGCGAACGGGUGCGUAACACGUGAGUAACCUGCCCUUGACUUUGGUAUAACUUCAGGAAACUGGGGCUAAUACCGGAUAGGAGCUCCUGCUGCAUUGUGGGGGUUGGAACGUUGCGGCGGUUGGGGAUGGACUCGCGGCUUAUCAGCUUGUUGGUGGGGUAGUGGCUUACCAAGGCUUUGACGGGUAGCCGGCCUGAGAGGGUGACCGGCCACAUUGGGACUGAGAGACGGCCCAGACUCCUACGGGAGGCAGCAGUGGGGAAUAUUGCACAAUGGGCGGAAGCCUGAUGCAGAAACGCCGCGUGCGGGAUGACGGCCUUCGGGUUGUAAACCGCUUUCGCCUGUGACGAAGCGUGAGUGACGGUAAUGGGUAAAGAAGCACCGGCUAACUACGUG
rnacentral:rRNA from 1 species